AGCCAAAAUAGUUUAAUAGGUUAAAACGGAUUCCUUGUAAGAAUCUAAUACUGGUUCAAUUCCUGUUUUUGGCUU
rnacentral:tRNA from 1 species